rnacentral:rRNA from 1 species
AUACGGAGGGUGCAAGCGUUAAUCGGAAUUACUGGGCGUAAAGCGUACGUAGGCGGUUAUUUAAGUCAGAUGUGAAAGCCCCGGGCUUAACUUGGGAACUGCAUUUGAAACUGGGUAACUAGAGUUUAGUAGAGGGGAGUGGAAUUUCAGGUGUAGCGGUGAAAUGCGUAGAGAUCUGAAGGAACACCAGUGGCGAAGGCGACUCCCUGGACUAAAACUGACGCUGAGGUACGAAAGCGUGGGUAGCAAACGGGAUUAGAAACCCCAGUAGUCC